rnacentral:rRNA from 1 species
UACGUAGGGUGCAAGCGUUGUCCGGAAUUAUUGGGCGUAAAGAGCUCGUAGGCGGUUUGUUGCGUCGGCUGUGAAAUCCCGAGGCUCAACCUCGGGUCUGCAGUCGAUACGAGCAAACUAGAGUGUUGCAGGGGAGACUGGAAUUCCUGGUGUAGCGGUGAAAUGCGCAGAUAUCAGGAGGAACACCGGUGGCGAAGGCGGAUCUCUGGGCAACAACAUGACGC